rnacentral:rRNA from 1 species
AACGAACGCUGGCGGCAUGCCUAACACAUGCAAGUCGAACGAGACCUUCGGGUCUAGUGGCGCACGGGUGCGUAACGCGUGGGAAUCUGCCCUUGGGUUCGGAAUAACUCGCCGAAAGGCGUGCUAAUACCGGAUGAUGUCGUAAGACCAAAGAUUUAUCGCCCAGGGAUGAGCCCGCGUAAGAUUAGGUAGUUGGUGAGGUAAAGGCUCACCAAGCCGACGAUCUUUAGCUGGUCUGAGAGGAUGAUCAGCCACACUGGGACUGAGACACGGCCCAGACUCCUACGGGAGGCAGCAGUGGGGAAUAUUGGACAAUGGGCGAAAGCCUGAUCCAGCAAUGCCGCGUGAGUGAUGAAGGCCUUAGGGUUGUAAAGCUCUUUUACCCGGGAUGAUAAUGACAGUACCGGGAGAAUAAGCUCCGGCUAACUCCGUGCCAGCCGCCGCAGUAA